rnacentral:rRNA from 1 species
AACGAACGCUGGCGGCAGGCUUAACACGUGCAAGUCGAGCGCAUCCUUCGGGGUGAGCGGCGGACGGGUGAGUAACGCGUGGGAACGUGCCCUCUUCUACGGAAUAGCCUCGGGAAACUGAGAGUAAUGCCGUAUACGCCCGCAAGGGGAAAGAUUUAUCGGAGGAGGAUCGGCCCGCGUUGGAUUAGGUAGUUGGUGGGGUAACGGCCUACCAAGCCGACGAUCCAUAGCUGGUUUGAGAGGAUGAUCAGCCACACUGGGACUGAGACACGGCCCAGACUCCUACGGGAGGCAGCAGUGGGGAAUCUUGGACAAUGGGGGCAACCAUGAUCCAGCCAUGCCGCGUGAUCGAUGAAGGCCUUAGGGUUGUAAAGAUCUUUCAGCUGGGAAGAUAAUGACGGUACCAGCAGAAGAAGCCCCGGCUAACUCCGUG